CUUUCGAAUAGCUGCUGGGGCAGGUAAACCUAUUGCAAAUGUGCACAAGUGUUGUGUCGUGCAGUGAUGUGGUGGAAAAAGAUGCCUACGAAAUGAGAAGAUUUUCCGUGAAACCACACUGUAGCAAUGCGGGGAAGGAAGGUGCAGGAUCCUGAAAUACAUAAUCCUAACAGCUGUAUCGAUAAAUCCAGUCCCGAGUGCCACAUUUUUAGACUGCUGAUCGUACACUAUGCUUCAGCAUCUGGACUAUGUUCGAGAAAAGCCUCACAUACCUCACUGUCUUGUAUGUUCAUGUGACAUCAAGUAGAAAUGUGGAAUUAUUUUUUAUAUAUAUGUCACGAUUCUGUUGCCAAAACUCUAAAUAGACAGCAGAGAUGUUAUGUAUUUUAGAUUUCACAGUUUCGACUUUUAAUAAGUGUUUGUCGAUGUGGAAAAGCUAUUUCAGCCUAUUAUAAACUUUUAAAGGUGUCAUGCCUAGCAUUAUAUAUCUUUACCACUUUGGGGUUUUGUACAUUGGAUUGUAUAGAUAAGAGAUAUUGAUGGUUUUAAAUGGUAUUUUCUUUGUUGACCAAGGCUUAUGGUUUGUGUUUUAGUUUUAGUAUUUUGGUUUUCAUUUUUAUAAUUUUUUUCUCAUGUUAUUUACUAUACUGCCAUGUUACAUGGUUUUUGAAUCACACAGCAGCUGCUUUGUAUACAUACAUAUAUAUGUGUGUGUAUAUAUAUGUAUGUAUGUGUAUAUAUACACAGAUAUAUAAAUAAUUUAUAAACCUGACCAAAACUUACGCUAAAUAUACUUUCCAAUAUGAAUGCUCGAGAGUGCCAUAUCAGCAGUUAGUAUUGGAGUCUUAGCAGGUUUAGUUAAGUGUACAUCAACAACCAACAUUUAUAUAAUAAUAUAUAGCAGUGCCAUCCUGGAUACCGAUAUAUAGCGUACUAUAUAGCACAUAUAUUAGCAGUUUCACUUCGUUACUCCUAUAAUCCCUUCUUUCUAUGUAAUAUUAAGGAUUGAAUGUGAAGUUCUUAGCUAGGUUUGGGUGUAACUUUCCAGAAUUUUGUAAACCGUUUUUGUCCGUCUUUUGUUACUGUUUUAUGGUGCCAAGUAUUCUAUAUGGAAACAAUAACAACAUGGGAGAAGAAAAUAAUAGUCUGCUUCAGGUAGCAACUGUAUUGGACACAGGCUGUAUUUAUACAGUGUUAAAGAAAAAAAUGACUGUAAAUUUUCCUGGUUAGUAGCUCAGUGCAGCCUACAAUAUAAUCUUGUUACGAACAUUUUUCUCCCACCACUAAAUACAACAUUAAAAGGUGAUUAGGGAGUCUGUUGAUGAAACACAAAUGUAUGUUUUAUUGAUUUAAUUUAGAACACUACAGAGUUCAUGGACUGCGUGAUGGCAUUAGAUUGAUGCUUGAUUUUGGUAUAAAUCACUACCGUUGAAAAUGAUUUUAUGUCCGCUUGCAGAACGUUUUCGCAACAGUACAGUCUGGGGUUAUAUUGAGGACUGUUGCCCAAGGGGUGUCCGCAGCUCUGUAUUGUUACUGUGCCAUGUCGCAUUAUAACCACACAGUAAUUCUAUUUAAGCAAACUCAACUCAUGUUAACUUUGAAGGCCUUUAGAAAUGAGUACUCUGGUUCUCAAGCAAUAAAACUGAUCAUGGUGAA